rnacentral:rRNA from 1 species
CGAACGCUGGCGGCGUGCCUACUACAUGCAAGUAGAACGCUGAAGGAGGAGCUUGCUCUUCUGGAUGAGUUGCGAACGGGUGAGUAACGCGUAGGUAACCUGCCUGGUAGCGGGGGAUAACUAUUGGAAACGAUAGCUAAUACCGCAUAACAGUAGAUGUUGCAUGACAUUUACUUAAAAGGUGCAAUUGCAUCACUACCAGAUGGACCUGCGUUGUAUUAGCUAGUUGGUGGGGUAACGGCUCACCAAGGCGACGAUACAUAGCCGACCUGAGAGGGUGAUCGGCCACACUGGGACUGAGACACGGCCCAGACUCCUACGGGAGGCAGCAGUAGGGAAUCUUCGGCAAUGGACGGAAGUCUGACCGAGCAACGCCGCGUGAGUGAAGAAGGUUUUCGGAUCGUAAAGCUCGGUUGUAAGAGAAGAACGAGUGUGAGAGUGGAAAGUUCACACUGUGACGGUAUCUUACCAGAAAGAGACGGCUAACUACGUG